CCUAAGAUAUUGGCUAGUGCCGUUUUUUAAAAUAAAAUAGAGGAAUGGAGGUGUAAUCCAUCUGAUAAAUCGAAAGGGAAACGGGUUAAUAUUCCCGUACCUGGACACGGAGAUAAAUGCUCAUCGUGAGAAUUUAGCGCGGUAACGCAAAUGAACUCGGAAACAUUGAGGAAAGCCCGAGCCAGAGUUCUCUUUUCUGGUUAAGGAACGGACUC
rnacentral:rRNA from 1 species